GGUGCGUAGGGCUAACGGCUAGGCCAGUUCCCUGUCACAGAGACAUUCAAACGGGUUCGACUCCCGUACGCACCG
rnacentral:tRNA from 1 species